CCAGUGACACUCUGCCAGGGAUUGGCCCCACUCCGCCCAGAAACAAAGCGGUCCGAUUGAGCAGCAGUGCCACCAAAGGCUCUUAAAGGGCCAGCAGAGACAAGCGCCCAUUUCUCCCUCCUCUUCCUGUACCAAAAAGCCCUUUCUCAGCUCAAUGACUUCCCCUCCCUUUCCUUCCACCCACGGAAAGGGAUGCCCAGACGGGUUUCUCUGCUGGAAAUUGCAAUGAACUCUUCCCCCGCCUCCUCUGGCUGUAAUAUUACCACACUCCUUUUCCGGGUUUGUUUGUUUACUCCCUGGUUGCUAGUAGGUGGAGGAACAGGUAAGUGGGGAAAACCCACGCAGCCCUUCCUUUGAGUUAUUUCUGCCUUUGGGCUUAAUUCACCUGGGUUGCAUGUUUCCCACAUUCAGGGCCUGGACGUGUAUUGCUUUAUAAGAUGAAAUUUCCAUACUCUUAGGUUGCAGGACAAAUGCGCUUUGGCACAACUUUUAACUGCAAUGGCUUAAUGCUACAGAAUCAUGGGAGUUGUAGUUUUACAAGGCCUUUUGCUUUCUCUGCCAAAAAGGACUGGGGCCUCACCAAACUACUAAUCCCAGGAUUCCAUAGCCUUGAGCCAUGACAGUGAAAGCAGAGCCAGGCUGCCUCCCGUCGGGUAAAGCAGCUGGUGAGCGUGCGAGCCGCUGCUUCUGGCGAGGUCGCCGGGCUGCCUGGCCAGAAGCCCUUAGAAAAGCACACCCACUUGGUGGCUGUGAGGGGGAAAUAAAAAAAACAAUUGGGGAAAGCGGGGAUAAAGAGAAGUCAAAGCCUGAGGGAAAGUCUGUGCUUUGGGUUUCUGUAUGGCCACGUUCCACAAGCAUUCUCUCCUGACGUUUCACUGACAUCUAUGGUACACAUCCUCAGAGGUUCUGAGGUCUGUUGAAAGCUAGGUAAGUGGGGUUUAUAUAUCUGUAGAAAGUCCAGGGUGGGAGAAAGAGCUCUUGUCUGUUUGAGGCUAGUGUGAAUGUUGCAAUUAGGCAUCUUGAUUAGCAUUUAAUGGCCUUGUAGAUUCAAAGCCUGGCUGCUUCCUCCCUUGGGGCAUCCUUGGUUGGGAGGUGUUAGCUGGCCCUUAUUGUUUCCUGUCUGGAUUUCCCCUGUUUUCAGAGUGUUGUUCUUUAUUUAGGCUUUCCCUUAAUCCCUCCUUAUUAUCCAACAUUUUCGUUUAUCCAACACUUUUAUUUUUCAUUGAUUGGUUGGGGGGGGGGAAUUCUGUUCGCCUACACUUGAAAAUUACCUUGGGCCAGUCCUGUGUACAAGACACUCAGCUCCUUCAAGGAAGGACAAGAUAGACAUGUAAUAAAUAAGCGAGUAGACCAUUACAUUACAAUGUUAGGCUGGAUUUGGCAUGGGAAAUGUCUGAGAAAAGAACCUAAUGUUCUGAGUUUGUUUUUUCCACAAUUGUGAUGGACUGCUUGUGGAACUCAAGCCAACCACCUACACAACAAACCUUUUUGCAGUGUGCAUUAGUUUCUUCUAUCCAGAAAUGUAGUGAUAGUUAUCCUCAAUUGGAAAACUUUCCUGUAUUAGUAAAAUAGCAUUGGACACAAUAAAAUUUAUCCCCACCAUACCCUUGAAAAAAUCGCCAAAUUUUAUGAUUGUUAAAAUAUUUGUUGCCAGUUUGUUUAGAGUAUUAAGUCACCACCACCUUCAAAGCAGUAUCUGACAUUUCAAUUGGUCCAAAGAGAAGCAGUCAGACUGCUAACUGGGGCUGAUUACAGGAAAUGUACAUUUCCUCUGUUGCAACAGCUCAAUUGGCUGCCAACCGUUUCCAGGCAUAAUUCAAAAUGCUGGUUUGACCUACAAAGCCCUGCAUGGUUUCAGUCAGGUUAUCUGAAUGACCAUCUAUUCUUUACAAACCUGUCCGACAUCAACUGGGGAGGGCCUUCUCUCUGCCCCACCACCUGUUCAAGCACAUUUGGUGGGAAUACAGGAGACAGCCUUUUCAGUGGCUGUUGUCAGAGUGUAGAAUUCACUCCCAAGAGAGACCAAGAUGUCCCCAUCCCUGCUUGCCUUCUUCAAGCAGGUAAAGACAUUUCUUUACCAUGAGGCAUCUGGGGAAGAAGGAGUGGCACAUUACGUGGGUGGGAUUCUGGAGGGACUGUGAGUUUUAAAUAUAGUUUUAAUUUUAUUUAUUAUAUUUUAACUGCAUUUUAACUUAAACCCACACAAUAGUAUUUAAUUUUUUGUAUUUGCUUUGUUUUCAACUGUGACCAGAUUGUGUGGUUGUUAGCCACCUUGAGUUCCCAUAGGGAGAAAUGUGGGGUAUAAGCAAAAUAAAUAAAUAAAAUAUCCCAAUGAGAUAACAAUAAACACAUUUCAAAGUUGUGCACUUACUUUCCUCUUUCCUCAUCCACACAUGGCCAAUCGCCUUUACAAGUAUUAAACUUGACAAGCUGUGGUGAAUGUGGUAUUAAAAGCCGAUUCAGUUAAUUCAGUAACACAGCACUGUGGUUUCCUUUCCAUGUUUUAAAUAUGUGCUGGUUCAUCUAUCCCUUUCAGCAGAAACUGUUGGUUAGAAUAGCAUGCUUUGAGGUCUCUAUUUUUAUUUUAUAAGCUUUCUCACAAGAGAGUUGGUGUUGGCCAAUACUGAUGCAUAAAGUAUUCAUAUAGAACUAAGGAUAUGAGUACUGGCAUUAGUUAUAAAAGCUAUGUAGCAACAGAAAAGCUGUGAAUUAAUUAACAUAAUUAUAGUACUUUAAACCAUUGGUGCAAACAAAGCCUUCAAGACCCAUCUGAGACCUUGUUCUGCAAAAAAAACCCCAAUACUGAAAUAAUCUACACCAUUAAUAAACUAUUAGGCAAUGUUCUGUACAGGCUAUAAGUUUAAAUAGCCCAAUGGACUUGAGUAAACCUGAACUUUAGCUUUCUUUUUCAGGAUGCUUGAAAAGAUGCAAAGUAGUAUCUGGACAAGUAAACAGAUUACAAGGUCUGAAAAAAAGCAGAGAAUUGUCAAAUGUUACAAACAACACUGGUACAAACAACAUUUGUAAACAUGAAGAUAUCAGCAUUAUACUUUAGGGCAAGGCUAAGACAUAAUCAGAACACAUGGAUAAACUAUUUCAGGAAGAUGUACUCUCGGUACUUCAGAAGAUAUUGGAUCCCAACUCCCAUCAGAAAAUACAACUUGGAGAUUAUUAUUUGUGUAGUUAGAUUGAAAUAUUACAAAUAUUCAGAUGUUUUGGUCAAGAAAAUGUGUUAUCAAUUUACAUCAAGUGCAUCCUAUAUAUGACAUUUUCAAUACUUUGGAAUUCCCUUCCAGAAGAAUUAAGAGCUGUCCCAUCCAUAUUAGGCUUCCGGAAAGAGGUCAAGACCUUUCUAUGUCUUAAAAUCAUGGAAUCAUGAAGUUGGAAGAUAUCACAAGACUCAUCCAGUUCUACCACGGAGGAAUGCACAACAAAAUAUUCCUGACAUGUGGUCAUCCAGCCUCUGUUUAAAAACUUGAAAAGAAGGAAGAUCCACAUGCCAAUGUAAUAUAUAUUCCACUAUCAAACCACUCUUACAAUGAAAAAGUUCUUCCUAAUGUUUAGGUGGAAUUUCUUUUUCUGUAGUUUAAAUCCAUUGCUCCUUGCCCUAGUUCCUGGAGGUUGUUUGCUUCAUCGUCAAUAUGACUCUGAAAUUUGUUGGUAGCUUCCCAUUUAUAUUUAACCACAUGAUAGUGAUGGUGGUGGUGGUGACAAUGACAUCAACACAAUCCAUAAUAACAUACAUGUGAAAUUAUAAUCACAAAAUCAGAAGUAUAAUCCAUGUGCCAUUUCAUUUACAAUAAUUCUUUAUAACAAAUUUAGCCAGUGAUAAAAGAGAAGGGAAAUACAUAUGGAACGUUCCAAUUAAAAUUCCAUUUUCAAUUGGAAAGGCCAUCCCAAGUGCAGAUCUAGAAGAACUAUUCCUCUUUCUGGUUAUUUAGAGUCCCUUAUCUGCCUAGCAGUUUGCAGAUUCCAAUUAACUCUUCAGCACACCUUUGAUUAAAUAGUAAGCAGUGCAGUCAAUUCACCAAGAAACAUGCAUUUAAGGGUCUGAAAGGUAAAGAGAGAUAAAGAAAAAUGGAAGGAGGAAAAAAUGAAUUCAAAUCUAAAUUUUGCCUUCCCCAGAAGUGCUGUGAAAGAUUCUUCUUUCAAGAAAGUGGUAUUAGGAUAAGUAUUAUUAUUGCACUGCUGAAAGAUUAGUUUCCUGUAUAGAAGCUGAUUACUUCCCUGAUUUCAUUGCUGCUUCUGCAGCUAGUCAAACAUGAGGAAAGAGCUGAAGUUAUCCUGUACUGCAUGGUAGAUUCGCUUAAAACAUUAUUCUACUUUGGUUAUAUACAGCUGUUUUUGGCAAGAUAGUAUGCAGGAGCAUUUUCCUAAUUCUAAUGGGGAAAAAUGACCUUUUCGUAAUGAGUGAUACAACACCUAGUUCAUCAAGAAGUGUAACUUGAACAGUGGUAUUAACCAAAAUCAGUAAGACCCAUUAAAAGUGCAUACCAUAGCUCAUUGUUUCAUUCCCUGGACUACCACUACAAUAGAUACCUUAAUUCAAAGUCAUUUUGAUGCUUGCAUGUUAUCUAUUUUGAAUAAUCUUAGGUAAGCCAAAUGAGGCUUUGAAGUGAACUUUGGUUCGAUGCUAAAGCAGUCGUUUACAAGCAAUUUUUAGAGUUCUUUUAGUACAACAUUUGUUUUAUCAUUAUCUCAACAAUUAGUGUUGUGCUCCUUGGAGAUGUCUGUGAUAUGUAUAUGAAUGAUGAUGAGGUUUAAAGCAUUACAAAGGCAUAAAUAAAAUUAUCUGGUAGAUAAUAAAUUUGAA